rnacentral:rRNA from 1 species
UACGUAGGCAGCGAGCGUUGUUCGGAGUUACUGGGCGUAAAGAGUGCGUAGGCGGUUUUCUAAGUUUGGUGUGAAAUCUCCCGGCUUAACUGGGAGGGUGCGCCGAAGACUGGAAGGCUUGAGUAUGGGAGAGGUAAGCGGAAUUCCUGGUGUAGCGGUGAAAUGCGUAGAUAUCUGGAGGAACACCGGUGGCGAAGGCGGCGACCUGGUCCUAUACUGACACUCAUACACGAAAGCGUGGGGAUCAAACAGG